rnacentral:misc_RNA from 1 species
ACAAAAAAACAAAAAAAAAAUAAAUAAAUAAAGAAGUGGUAGGUACCAUCCUCAUUUUCAUAAAAAAUUGUUAGGGCAUUCACAUUUUCAAGGGUUGAUGCAUCACCUAGAUGGUUUGUUCAAGGAACAAAGGCCAUGAUUCAUUUGAGGUUAACAAUUUCAUCAAACUACUCCAACUUUUAAGCAUCCACAAUAAAAUGCCUACUCGCAGAACAGCACAUAAUAUAACAAAAAGUAAAAUAAACUACACUUUCUACUAUUCUAUAAAACAUCCUCUAAGUAUUUCGACUUCUCAUGAAUAUUUUUAAAUCUUUCUACCAUACAGUUUUAAAAGAACAGUCCUAGUGACAAGUUCUGAAGGAUAUUACACAUCAAUGCACAAUGAACAAAUUGAGGCCACAACUUUCCCAAUUUAGUAAGCAUAGAUCAUAUGCUAAUGCUAUCAUGGCAAAUUGCAAGCUAUAAAGAUAAAUGCCAACUGAUCAUCCAUAUUUUUUUACUUUAUAGGAUACAAGAUUUAUUUACAUAGAGAGAACACCAUACCAUGUGUACCAACAGGUUCCUUAAUGCGACCACGACGACCACAUUUCGUCCACACUUCUACAGGCUUGAACCAUCUUACAUCCUCUGGGUUAUGGAACAUAUAUCGCACUGAGGCCUUCAAUUUUGACACUCGUUGGGGGUAACUGCAUCAGUUAUUUCAAUAAAUGAGAACAUCCAUCAUAUUCAAUUUAUAAGUCAUCACUAACAUGGAAUUGUAAGAAGUCCAAGAUCAAUCAAACUCAAUAUAUGACCAGCUCCAGAUACCAUCUCAAAUGGUUGCAUAAUAUUAAUUGAUGGUGGCAAAUUUCUGUCAAUAGAAUGGAAGUGAUAGAAGUAUGUCACAUGAUAUGAUUGGACAAGGAUUGUCAUGAAGCUCAUACCCAGUUAAUAUAAUCUUCUUCAGUAUUAUCCUGUCAGGAUCAAUGCUUCUCAAGGAACCAACAGCAGCAACAGUGGGGGCAGCACCUCCUUCUGAAUGCUUCAGGACUAUCAAAGGAAGAGAAGGAAAACAAAUUGGAGCAUAAAUUGAUGCCAUGGA